UGAGACAAUUAAAUAACCUAAGGUUAUGGUAAUAAGGAAGGGUUAGUAUUUAAUAUGUAUACUAACUUAAGUGGAUAAUCUUGUUAUUUUAAGUGACUAAUAAUUUUAAACCUAUUUCUAAUAAACCUAAUUAGGUUAUGAGCUAAAGUCACAUGUAUAAGUAAUUAAAUUUCAUAAGAUUGGGAAUAGAAACCCUAAAUAAACAAUUUGGGUAGCAUAUAUUAAAAGUUUUAGACUAUGUUCAUUACAUGACCCAAAACAAUUAAAGGAGAAGCCCAAAAGAAAUAAAAUGCAAGCCC
rnacentral:lncRNA from 1 species